GUGGGGAAUCUUGCGCAAUGGGCGAAAGCCUGACGCAGCCAUGCCGCGUGAAUGAUGAAGGUCUUAGGAUUGUAAAAUUCUUUCACCGGGGACGAUAAUGACGAUACCCGGAGAAGAAGCCCCGGCUAACUUCGUGCCAGCAGCCGCGGUAAUACGAAGGGGGCUAGCGUUGCUCGGAAUUACUGGGCGUAAAGGGCGCGUAGGCGGACAGUUUAGUCAGAGGUGAAAGCCCAGGGCUCAACCUUGGAAUUGCCUUUGAUACUGGCUGUCUUGAGUACGGGAGAGGUGAGUGGAACUCCGAGUGUAGAGGUGAAAUUCGUAGAUAUUCGGAAGAACACCAGUGGCGAAGGCGACUCACUGGCCCGUUACUGACGCUGAGGCGCGAAAGCGUGGGGAGCAAACAGGAUUAGAAACCCUAGUAGUCC
rnacentral:rRNA from 1 species